GGUAAGAUGUAUUCCUAAAGCAAAGACUGGAGUCUGAGUUUUACCAAUUCUGUUUCAAGAAAGUAUAUGGUUUCUCAUCUCAUAGGGGAGUGUGGCUGCACGUGAGACUUCCUGGAAUACCACAAAGUGAGCGGGAAAUUGGGACCCACUUCUAACAUGGAAAAAAAUUACAGAGGAAAACAGAAAGCUAUUUUUGGCACGCUGAAUUCAGUAGAUGAAAAGCUGAGAUAAUCCUAUAGGAACUGUUUUGGAUCUUGAACAAGUCUAAUGGGGAGUGAAUAGGCAGCUUCAAGGGUCCUGACAAAGUGUGCAAGUGACAAAUGAAAGGAAGAUGUUCAUUUAUACACACUAUGUGUGAUCUUCUCUAGGGCUGGGGUAUGAAUUUUGCUCUUGACCACAGUCUUCCUUCUACUUUUGUUAAGAUAUCAGGUCACUUUUUGAGACCAAUCACAGCUGCAGCUAUACCUGGAGUAGGACCUUGCUUUGGUUCUUCAUGAUUGCUAUAUCUAAAGUACAGCAGGAUGCAGCCAGAUAUGUCAAACUGCCCUUGUUUUCAACCAGGUAUUAGAUUCACAACUUCCUAAUGUAAAGAAAAAAAAAAAUUAUCUGUACUUUUGAAGACUGAAUUCAUCUCCAGGUAAUACAAAUGAGAAACGGUGCUCUUCCCCACAGUAAUAGGAUUGCAAUCAAGCUCUCAAUGUGAUUUACAAACUCUGUAGUGUUAACCAAUUACUUGCUGGUCAGCCAAUAACAAUGACUGAAUCAUCUUUUGCUUCAGAAAAGGAUCACUGCGCACAAGUUGGAGAAUCUCACAGCACUGCCUUCAAACCAUUCCUACUAAAUAAGACACUGCACUUCUCUGUCGAUAGAUACUAUAUGGUAUUUUAGCCCAAGAAACUUAUGUCAGGAUCUAUAAAAACAACUGGGAACAUGCAGAAUAAUUGAAUCUUAAAUGAUUGUGUAUAAUGUGUCUGCAUUUAUAUUUCAGCAUUUAAAUGCGUUUCAAUACUUUGGUGUGUGAAAGGGUUAAACAAUAACAGAUUUCCUGUGCUAAACAGCUUAAUGAAAAACAUUCAGGGUGCUUUUUUAGAACAACAGACUCAUACUGCAAAAUGAUAAUCUUUGGUAUGUCCUUUUUUUUUUUCUUUUUCACAAGUAACAAUAUAGGCGAGACAGACUUUGCUAUAAUUCUUCCUAAUUGCUCUAAUGCAUUUCAUUUUAUUUUAGUGUUUUCAGUUUAUAAAAACAGUUAGCAUCAGUUUGUUUCCAGUUUUAAUGGAGAUAAACUCCUUCUUUUCCCCCUGAAAAAAUUCACAAUAUGGUUGGAAAUGUCAGCAAUAAUUAGACAAAAUGCUUGUGAAACAUAAAAUAAAAACAAUACGUCUUUUUAUAAUGGAAUCAGUUUGUCUGAUUAUCUCAAACAAUGUACAUUUCCAACUGCCCAGGAGGGUCAUUAGAGCUUAUGAAAAUCAAAGUCUGCUUUUUCUGCUUCAGACAUCAUGGACAACAAUAUUGUCUCCAGGAUCAUUAUAAAUAUAUGUUAGACUUUCUUGAACUACAGUGAACCUGAAGCAUGAAAUGCAUUUAAAGAUAAAAACAUCAGGGGGAAAAAAAAAGAAAAAAUGAAAAACAAAACAAAAAAGCAAACAAAUAAAUCCACUUUGUGUUAUUAACUAAAUAAGUGUUACAUAGAAAUUAUAGUUGGAUACAUAACCUCGCUGAAUACAGUACUCAAGGGACCUUGGUUCUAUUCUGUCAUCAGUCACAGAUUUCCAGUAUAACCUCAGAAAAGUCAUUUCCUACCCUAUGCACAAUGAGGGCUAUUUGUCCCUUAAAGAGAUGGUUGUGACAGAGCUCCCUUCUGAGUUCCUGUCUAGGUGUGAAGUCUAAUUCAAGAAGUUUCUGUUAUUCCUUUGAGAUACACUCAGAGAAUAGACAAGAGUAUCACUUCUACCUUUUUUCCCAUUUGUAGAAAUGGGGCUAAUAUUCUCUUGCUCUCACUGGAGAGUUUAUGGAUACAAUCCAUUAGUGUGUGAGAGGCAUUCAGAUACCAUGAUGACAAGGACCAUUUAGCAAGUAAAUAUCUGGAUGGAGUAGGAGGAAUUCAGCUGCUGUUACCACAUUACAUUACAAAUAGUUUAGGACAAAAGACAAACGGGAAGUCUGAUAAGUUUAUCGUAUGAUCAGUUAUAGUCAUACAACAAUUCUGCACUCAAGGAACCUGGAAAGCUGUUUCAAAAAUGAAGUUUCCACCUGUUUAGUUUGUUUACCAAUAAGUGUGGCAGUAUGCCUAUUCUGCCCAGUGGUUUAAGCACUUUUCUCCUGCUCAUACAUGCUGGGUUUUCAGUCUUCAAUUGCAUCUUUCAGAUUCAGCAGCAGUGUCACACGGCAAGAUGGAAUUCUAGGGAUGCUGCUGCGUUGUUUUGGAUGGGAUCCUACUAUAUCAGCUGCCAAAGUGCCCAAGGAAAAACUGAAACUUACAGGAAAAUUAUAGCGACAUGAAGAAAUUUCAUUAAAAGUGACAUGUUCUAAACCUUUUAGAAAUACAAAAAUCUGUUGAAGAUCCCAAGAUGUGUGUAGAAAAUGUGGGUAAGAAAAGAAAAUGCAUUACUAAACUAAUCUAAAACCAAAGCAGGUAUUUCUCUGCUAUAGUAUUGCUACACAUAUGCUCUUGUUAGUACAAGCAAAUGCUUACCAAUAAUGAACAAUCUCUGUUGGUUGCAAUGCUCAAGCACAAAUUAAACAAUGCUAAAAACUAUUAUUAAAGCACAUGAAGGAAUUAAUACAUAAAAUCCUUCUGCUACUUCAAAUUCACAGCAAAGCGAUUCCUCUCAGCUAAGCCAUCAGUACAAUGUACAGAAGCCUAUUUUUAGGAAUGGUUAAGGGAACAUACUUUCCAUGGAUCUCCAUGUAUUUCAAGCCUACUAAGGGUACAACCCAUCCUAUCAGAGUAGGUUUAUUUGGAGGAGGAGGACAAGGAUCCCUGCUCACACUGCCUCCCAUGGCAUGAGAAAUGAGAAUAUUCUCGACAUCCCAGUAGCAAUAGGAGUAGAUAUGAUCCACUGUAAAAUCCUGUGAGCUUCAUUAUCAGUUUCAGAUGAGGGUUCUGUUUGUAAUUAGCAGAAACCAAACCAAUGAAGUAGUAUUUGGUUUUCUUUUGUGUGUUUUGCUCUCCAACAGUUGCUGAACACUUCAUUUUAGUCCACCAAUUCCUCAGCUAGUGACACAGCCCAGUCAGGGUCACAGGCCCAAAAUGUAUUCCACCUCUAUGCUCACCUGUCUCUUAAGCAGGGAAAUUAAAAUUCAUUGUCAAAAUAAGCAGAGAUUUUGCAGAUUGAAACAAGAGAGGAAUAGCACUUCUCUCUCUUGUGUCUUCUACAGUGUAACACAGCAGAGAAAGUAAAGCCCAGGGAAAAACAAAUUAGAGUGACCCCAAUGUCCUGAAGACAAUAUUUUCAAGCUUCAUCAUUGAAAUAAAGAUUUGAGAAAUCACCAAUCAACAGCUCAAAUCCACCAGAAGCAGAACGUCAAGUUUGGGCCCACAUGCAGAUUCUCACAUGAGGCUUUCACAUGGUAAACAGCCAAUGUUUGAAAAGGCACACAGCAGAAAUUGUUGGAAGAAACAUUAGCUGGGAGGGCAGGCCCAUUGCCUUAGCUCUCCAAGGCAGACUGAAACAAUAGCAAGUGACACAGAUGAAUUUUCACCUUGUCUACCGGUACUGCCACAGAAAGGAUGUAAUGCAAUCUCCUGAGAAGUCCAUUGUCCUCAUGGCACUGUGUGAAAUCUGUGACAAUGUCAGAACUUGGUCAUAGCUCCACGUUCUCUGCCAGAAACAUAAGCAUGCUUCGAGUGCAUUAUUCUUUUAGAGGGGGGCCUCGAAAAGUUCAGCUGUAGGAUUUUCUCAUCAGCUUAAUUUUUCCAUGUUCUGUUUCGUUUCUGGUAUUUUCCCACUUAUGUUAUUUGCUUGCUGAAGCUGCUCCAUUCAUGGAGUUCAGUAAAUGGUGUUUGCCAUCAGAACAAUUUGAUUCUAGUUCUAAUUAUAACAACAAGCUGCUUUCUUCAAACAUAAUAUGGGUGUUUCAUUAUUUUAAAUUGUUAUCUUCCAUAUUAAUUACAGAAACAGUUGAUCUUUUCUGAGAAACCAGCAGCUGCAAAUUCCCCCCUUUUUAAAUGUCUCAUUUUAAUAGGUGAAACAUCAGGUAAAAAUUAAAUCAGAUUGUAUCAUAAUUCUCCAGAAGAAGAUAUGUAAGUUACAACACAUUGCCUCCAUAUUCCAUAGGGUUACACUAUUCAGGUGUAUUCAACCAUGUAGCUUAGUAUAGAUCACACAGCUCAGUUGCAGACACAGUGCCCCUAAAUAAAUCACACAGCAAUGGCAACAUUACUAAUGAGACUAUCAGAAUCAAAGGAAGCAGGGUGAUGCAUCUGAGUAGAGCCUACAUCAUUAUUCUGCAUGAUUUGUUUAUGGUAUUGUUGGUGAGUCGUGUUUCUCCCCCCUCCUUUCCUAGUCCAUCUGGAUUAAAAAUGGGAACUAGAAGAACUGAAGUCCUGGAAUAGCCUGUACACAACAGUCCUGCAGUCAUAAGGAGGGGUGGUCUGGUGCUUCUUGCAAGGCAUCUGAUUACACAAACUCACUUAUCAUCUGUACUCUGCAGCAGUUCAAGAACUGAACUUCUGACAGUUUUCUUCUGUCACGUAUUUGUAGCUACUGAUCUCCAUGAUCCCUGAAAGAAGUAUAACUCAGUUACUGAGCCUGCUGACACUCAUGUCAUACUUUUUUCCAUCCUCACUCAAAGCAGUGAUCGAAAUUUAUUCCUAUUUUGUGAAGUACAGAGUAACGAAUUUCCAAUACUAGUGGCUUUUUCUCCACAAUAGAACUCCACAUUUCUGAAAGGGAAAGUUAAUGUUGGAGAUGAGAAUAUGCUACCAGCAAAGCUAAGUUAUUUAGCAUUUCUACAGUAUUUAAAAUUUCUUCAGAUAAAAUAUGAGAAUUAUAUUUAAAAAAAAAAAGAAGAAGAAGAAGAAGAAGAAAAAGACAAACAAACACAGAACAGUUUUCUAAAGAUGAUAUGUAAGCUGCACAACACUGAGAUUCUCCUUGGACAUAAAUUGCUGACAACAUGUCAAAUCUUUUCCACAACUGGGAUACAUUUACAUUGUUUUAAACAUGGAGUUACUUCUUUGCUGUUUAGGAUUUGGCCAAAUUUAAACAUGCUUGGAAGACAGAGACUUAACUUCUCAAAUAAUUUAUUGAUUGCCGAUAGAAACAUUUUUUCUUAAAUUGUGCAAAU